GAUGAACGCUGGUGGCGUGCCUAAUACAUGCAAGUCGAGCGAACAGAUAAGGAGCUUGCUCCUUUGACGUUAGCGGCGGACGGGUGAGUUACACGUGGAUAACCUACCUAUAAGACUGGGAUAACUUCGGGAAACCGGAGCUAAUACCGGAUAACAUAUUGAACCGCAUGGUUCAAUAGUGAAAGGCGGCUUUGCUGUCACUUAUAGAUGGAUCCGCGCCGUAUUAGCUAGUUGGUAAGGUAACGGCUUACCAAGGCAACGAUACGUAGCCGACCUGAGAGGGUGAUCGGCCACACUGGAACUGAGACACGGUCCAGACUCCUACGGGAGGCAGCAGUAGGGAAUCUUCCGCAAUGGGCGAAAGCCUGACGGAGCAACGCCGCGUGAGUGAUGAAGGUCUUCGGAUCGUAAAACUCUGUUAUCAGGGAAGAACAAAUGUGUAAGUAACUGUGCACAUCUUGACGGUACCUGAUCAGAAAGCCACGGCUAACUACGUG
rnacentral:rRNA from 1 species